ACCAAGCAGAUAGCCUGGGGGAGGGAGAAGUUCGCAGCCGCCUGAGAAACCUGUGAGGGGCCGCUGAUGGUCAGGGCAGCCGGCUGGGGCAGGGUCUCUGGGGCUCUCAUCGGUGUGUUUGAUGUUUCUCGCAACUGUUUUCUGUAACCUCUCCUCACUGCUUGGAUGGCACAGAGGCCCAGCCGGGGCCCAGAGAACCUCAGGGGUUUCCUCGAAGCUGCCUACAAGGGCAGCUUCAGCCAUGGGAGGGAAGUUCUUUCACUCCCCUGGGCAUUAGCCCAGCCCCAGGCCCCGGUGGGGAUGGAAGGUCGAGGGCCCCUCAUAACUACCCCAAGAAGGAACCACACCCAUUUUCCAGCUGAGUAAACUGAGACCCACAGAGGUUGCACACUUGCCGAGGGCCCCUGCAGUGUAAUUGGUGCAGUUUCUUUCCCCACUGCUACCCCUUCACCCCACAGAGCGUAAACUUUGAGCACGAGGAGGCCCAGGGCAGAGGGAGCAGAAGCUUCUUUCAAAAUGAUCCAGAGUAGAAUCUUGAGGAUCUGCAGCUUCCCCAGGGCCGGGAGGGACUUCGAGACAGCCCCCGGGUGGAUGGGCAGCUCUGGACACACAGAAUGAGAGAGAUUCAGUGAGCCUCUUCGGUGCUGUCCCUUGGGAAAUCCCCUUGAGCAACAUGGGGAGCCUGGGGCCACCUGCCCCUCAGGGAGAUUCCCCACCGAGCUCUGCUUCCCCAUCUAACCCCACUACAGCCCUGGAGAGGACAAUGGCUAGCACCCUUGGUUAUGUGGGAACUCAGGCACAGAGAUGUUGGGAGAUUUGUGCAAUGUCCCACAGCAGGUGUAAGCUGGGCUGCUGGGGCUUGAACCCAGAGUGACUCCGAGCCCCUCAGUGCAUCAUGCAAUCUCUGUCUGGGGUGAAAGACCCCAUGAAUAACCCAUCACUAGGUCUCAGUUUUUCCAAUCGUAGCGGGUUGGACUCCAGUGCUAAGGAGGGUGCUGCUAUCUGCCCCCCUGGCCUCUGGGGGCUGGGGCUGACAUCAUGGUGGGUUUGUCUGCAGGAGUGAGAGCCCCCGGGGUGGCUCUCUGUUCUCAGGUCAACAAAGCCUUCCUCUGCCACAUCGGUAGAAACCCCUGAUGACCCCAGUGAGCCAGGGGGGCCGUGAGAGGACCCUGGGGUGGUCAGGCAGCUCAGAGCCCAGGGCUCUGGCCUCCAGUUCAGUGGUCUCCAGCAGCUACCUGUCUUUGUUGAGCUCCAGGGUGCAAGCUGGGGAGCCUGGCCAGGUGGGUGCUGGCACCUGUCCUGGAGGGAGGCCCAUUUCAGUCCUGAGGGUAGGGCAGAAACAGCGGGACCAGGAGCCAGGACAGCUGGGCUCACCUGGGAUCCAGACAGGCUCCUUUCUUUCCUGAGUCCUCAUGUGCUCACCUGUGAGCAGCCAGGUGGAGUGAGGAGCCGUGAAGCAUUCCGUGAGUCCUUGCAGGGCUUCAGGCUUGUCAUUCAUUCAUGAAUUCAAUCAUUCGACAGACUUACAGAGCACCUGCUGCAGGCCAAGCACCAUCUUAUCUCUGGGGCUACAAAAGUGAUCAAGCAGAGGAGGCUGCAGGAGGAGGGUGUACAUGGCGGGGGUUGGGGGGCGUACCUGGUUGGGUGUGUUUUGUUUUCAUAGAUACAUAUCACCUGUUAGGAAACAAAACCAGCCAGCAUACCAGAUUCAUGAUUUCAUAGCUACCAAUGCUUAGGAUGAAGCAAACUUACCAAAUGAAAAAGCGAGUGGAUUUGAAGUUGAUCUAGAGAGCAGGCGGUGGACAGAGAGGGCCGGAAUCGUGCACGCGGCUGUGGGCGCCUGGGGCUCUCAGCAGAGGCCGGGCGAGCAGGGGACUGAGCUUUGCUGUCUGCCUAGGGGGAGUCUGGGCUUUGAGGAGAGACGUGGGACUUCCACAGAUGCUCCUUCCCCUGAACCUUCUGGAAGUGGCCAGACCAAGUCCCACUUAAUAACGUGACUGUUUCAGUUUGGCUCUGCUCAAAUAGGUCUCUCACACCCGACAGUCACAUUGGGCCUCCAAGUGGGCUCCCGCUGCAGAGAUGUCAGCGUCCAACAAGCGCCGGUUUGGGUCCUAGCUCCGCCCGUCCACCCAUCCGCCCGCAUGAGUCUAGUCAAGCCACAGGCCUUCCCCGAGCCACCAGCUGCUUGAACAGGAAAGACUGUUUCAUGGCACCAAAUAAGCUCAGGUUGACGGCCCUCUCCUGUCCCUUCCCCUGCCACACCUUGAAGAGCCUGCAUCCUUUGAGGCACGGGGGUUUUCCUCAGGCCUUCUCUCUGGGGAUUGGACUUGGGUGGGACACAUGGUCCAGGAAGCCAACUCGGGCCCUCCCACCUCCCGGGGACCUGGCAGUCUCAUCCUUUCGGGAGCCCCCCUACCCCUGGGCUCAGAGCUGGCAGACGCAAUGCAGGUCUCCUACCCCUGUCAUUAGAGAGCCAGAGCAGCGUGGCCUUCAGAAGUCCAGCACAGAUGUGGGGUUACUGCCAAGAUGGGAGGCCUGGCCAGGCAUGCACACGGCCCCCAAGCUGGGGAAGGAGUCUGCCGAGCACAGCAUCUGCAGGAGUCAGACAGGUGAGGGCAAGUAAGAGGGUCCACACUGCAUCCUCCCCUCAGAGUCCUUUAUGGGCCAGGCCAGUGUUAGGCGCUCUUGGGCCUUCUGCCUGGAUCUACGAGGGAGGGGCCAUGAGCUGCAUUUGAGGGAUGAGCCAACCAAUGCCCAGAAAUCCAUAUCAGUGUGAUUUCAGCUGCUUCUGGGAAAGAAGUAAAAGGAGUCUGGUCAGGCUGGGUGGGGUGUCCAGGCUGUAGCCGGCCUGAGGGGGGCAUCAAGGCAGCUGUCAGCUGGGACUUGGGCUCUAGGGCCAUGAGGAAGGCUUCUGGGAAAAGUCAGGCUGCUGAAGUAGGUCGAGAGCCUAGACUUUGGUCUGAGUCUCAAUUCUGCUACUUUCUUAGCCAUUUGACCUUGGAUUAGCCUCAGGUUAGCCUCAGUCCGUCAGUGAGGACCCUUCUGGUUGCUGGUGAGAGGAAAUCCAAAUCAAACAGGCUUAAGCAGAAGGAAGGGCUUCAUUAGUUCAUGGAACCGAAAAGUCUGGGGUGGGGGAUAAACUAGCUUCAGGAACGGCUGGAUCCAGCAGUUCAGUUUAUGUAACGGAUUUGGACUUCUCAACUCUCACCUCUGCUUUCCUUCCUACCGGCUUCAUUUUGAAUCAGGGCUGCUCCAUGUGGGGUCCCCAGCUCCGUGCUUGGCAUGUAGGGAAUGCUCCCCAGCCCAGCAACAGGCCAGCUUCAGGGGCCAGGCUGCCAUGAGCAACACAUUAUCUCUGUCUUAGGGAUGUUGACAGUACCCUGGGGGAGAUGGGACAAGAAAAGAGGAAAUUACCAUACAGGGUGAUCAGAGCUGAGACCGAUGUGCACUCCAAAGCCCAUGGGAGACCAGAGGAGGAAUGUCAGAGUUCACAUCUGGAUGGGUUCCCCAAAGUCUUCCUAGAAGAUAUGACAGCUGGACUAGGUUUUGAAGGUGAAGGAGGAGUUGGUCUGGGGAAUGAGGAGUGAGGGAGCGGGAGCCCUGGGGUUCAGUGUGGAGUUCAGGUUGCCUCAGGACCCACACACAGUGGGGCUGGCCAGGCUGUGCAGUUCCCGGCGAGGCUUAGGGGUCAGGAUAGGUGGUGGGGGUGGGGGCAACUGAGCCUACCUAUGCGUGAAAGAUGGCUUUGGCUUCAAGGCAGCGAGGACAGGAAAGAAUGAGCAUGUACGGGCUCUCAGAACCCUUGCUUUCUUUCCCCUACACACUGGGCAAUGCGCAUCCCCAUCCUUGCAGUUUCCUUAAGCACACUCCUCCCAGAGCACCCGCCCCCUUCCUGCCUCUUUCAGGCCCAGCCUCUCCUAUUUAUGCCACUUCUUCCCCACGGAUUGGGUCCCUCUCUCAGACUGUGCCACCCCAUUCUCUGUGACAGUCGCCACACCACCGAGGCCCAUCCCCAGCAUUCAGUUGGUGCUGAGUCAAUGUUUGCUGUGGCAUAAGGCCUGCAGCUGGCAGGCCGAGAUCCUCCUCCCAAACUGCGAGGAGCGCGGGUCCUGGAGGGUCCUCAGGGGACGUGGUGCCAGGGUGGGUGUGAGCAGCCCCCACCCGCUGUGCAACUCUGGACCAGUGGCUGCCCCUCUCUGGGCCUCAGUUUUUUCA